UUGUCACAGCAGCAAGUGUUGGUAUUCACACGACAGUUGUACCGAGUCUUGUUAGGCUGUACGCCCCACCUUCAUCACUGUAGCCUCCUGCACCAUCACUAUGAAGGGCUCCCACUUGUACUGUUUAUUGUUUACUAUUCUAGGUGUUGUGCAGUACGGUGUGGUGGCGUCAGGAAGCAAGAGCAGUGUAGAGGACCAGCAGGAUGUCUUAUGUCCAGUACCAGAGGACAUUUUCCCCUGCGUGUGUGGCGUGAACGACAACAACACUCUGGACAUUGACUGCUCAAAAGUGGUAUAUGAGGACGAGUUAGCCAACGUGUUCCGUUCUUACUUCCCCAACCCCAACUUCCGUAGAUUUACUAUCAAAUUUAACUACUACCUACAAACACUGAGGGACGGUGCCCUUGGGAACACCACCUACACUGAGUUCUUCUUCACUGAGAGCGUCCUGGAGGUAGUGGAGAAGAACGCCUUAUCCGGAAGCUUCCACACGGCCACCUACUUGAACUUCUAUUCUACUAAGUUACAAUCAUUCCCCUUUGAUGAUAUUUCCUCUUUUACAAAGCUUGUGACUCUUGAUCUCCGUUUCAACUAUUUUCAUGAAUUUCCUAAUAUAUCUUCAGUCACCCUGAAGACUCUGGCUCUGGGUGGGAAUUCCUUUGAUCACCUGCCAACUGAGGCCUUCGUCAACACUCCUUCAGUAUCCAGCAUCAAUGUUUACUUGGGGAAGCUCUGGAAUAUUUCCUCAGGUACAUUCUCCGGCCUCCCAUACCUGGAGUCAGUAGACCUCUCAUUUAACUUCUUGAAGCACAUCCCAGAGGCCGCCGUAGAAGUGACCACACCUACCUACAUCAACCUCAACUACAACAUGAUCAGCAGCGUGGAAGUCGAUGCCUUCUUAGGUGUCACAGGAGGCUCCAUAGACCUCCACUCUAACCAGCUGAAGGAGAUACAAGAAGCAGUUUGGCGGCCGCUCCUCCAGUAUAAGGUCCAACUUGAUCUCUCAAAAAACCCUCUGGAGUGUGGGUGUGAGCUGGCCUGGCUGGUGCUCAGUGACACCUUCCUCCACCAGGUGAAUGAAAACACCACCUGUGCUGACGGACGGCUGGUAGUUGACCUCGACCCCGCUGAUUACGAACCUUGUUAAGGUAAUUGAGGGUGAUGGGAGAGAGAACGAGAGAGAGACGGGUGAACAGAAAGAUAAAUUAACGUUACAAAAACGUGGUUGAUCGUCUAACAGAGACAUCUAGUGGUGGACUACGACAAUGAAACUCCCAAAGUGAGAUGAGAUCUGGCAAAGUUUCCCUACUGGCCACUUAAAUACAGAGUUGUGAGUAAAAUGUUAAAGUGCUCAAUAAAGAUCUAGAAAACUAUUAAGAGCGUGAAUCGUAAAAUACCAAAGUUUCUGUAAUGAAGGUGGAAAAGCCCGUCAAACACUCACUAUAGUAAAUAAACCUGAACUGACUGAA